GGGUAGUGUUAUGGUAGGGCUGGGGUAGUGUUAUGGUAGGGCUGGGGUAGUGUUAUGGUAGUGUUAGGGUAGGGCUGGGGUAGUGUUAUGGUAGGGCUGGGGUAGUGUUAUGGUAGGGCUGGGGUAGUGUUAGGGUAGUUUUAGGGUAGUGUUAUGGUAGGGCUGGGGUAGUGUUAUGGUAGUGUUAGGGUAGUGUUAUGGUAGGGAUGGGGUACAGAGGGAUUCGUAGAACACUCCAGUUCAUUAUAGUGCACUAAUAGGUCCCCUCCCUCUCUACAGGUUGACAGAAACAGAGGGAUUCGUAGAACACUCCAGUUCAUUAUAGUGCACUAAUAGGUCCCCUCCCUCUCUACAGGUUGACAGAGGGAUUCGUAGAACACUCCAGUUCAUUAUAGUGCACUAAUAGGUUCCCUCCCUCUCUACAGGUUGACAGAAACAGAGGGAUUCGUAGAACACUCCAGUUCAUUAUAGUGCACUAAUAGGUUCCCUCCCUCUCUACAGGUUGACAGAAACAGAGGGAUUCGUAGAACACUCCAGUUCAUUAUAGUGCACUAAUAGGUCCCCUCCCUCUCUACAGGUUGACAGAAACAGAGGGAUUCGUAGAACACUCCAGUUCAUUAUAGUGCACUAAUAGGUUCCCUCCCUCUCUACAGGUUGACAGAAACAGAGGGAUUCGUAGAACACUCCAGUUCAUUAUAGUGCACUAAUAGGUCCCCUCCCUCUCUACAGGUUGACAGAAACAGAGGGAUUCGUAGAACACUCCAGUUCAUUAUAGUGCACUAAUAGGUCCCCUCCCUCUCUACAGGUUGACAGAAACAGAGGGAUUCGUAGAACACUCCAGUUCAUUAUAGUGCACUAAUAGGUCCCCUCCCUCUCUACAGGUUGACAGAAACAGAGGGAUUCGUAGAACACUCCAGUUCAUUAUAGUGCACUAAUAGGUCCCCUCCCUCUCUACAGGUUGACAGAAACAGAGGGAUUCGUAGAACACUCCAGUUCAUUAUAGUGCACUAAUAGGUCCCCUCCCUCUCUACAGGUUGACAGAAACAGAGGGAUUCGUAGAACACUCCAGUUCAUUAUAGUGCACUAAUAGGUCCCCUCCCUCUCUACAGGUUGACAGACAGUGUAUCUCCAGUCUACUGGACUCUGGCUCCUGGCAUCUCCACACCGUUCUUCUCACCGACACACAGGUCAGUGUUAAUGAUUAAUGUUAUUUACUGGUUGUUUAAGCACAGAAAUGCACUGUGAGCUUAGCACAACGUUCUCUAUAGACAGACCUGAUGAUGAUGUAGUGGACUAGCAACUGAUCUACAGUCAGGUAUAUUCUACCACCCGAAUGGUUAAUAUUAGCAUUGUGCGUAUGGUAAUCUGAUCCUAGAUCUGUGGUAUGGUGGAUUGAGUGUUCAUCUUCACCCAAUGUGUGUUGUUGUCAGUGCAGCGAGGCAGCAGGUGUCAUGCCUUGGUCUAUAUUUACUAUUACAGUGCUUUGGCUCCACCUUGUGGAUAUGUGUUAUAACUACAUCAGCAGUGAUUUUGUGUUGUGAUGAAUGUAUUCAUUGGAGAUCAUUUGGAUUCAAGAUGAAUGCAGACAGUAAUGCAGACAGUAAUGCAGACAGUAAUGCAGACAGUAAUGCAGACAGUAAUGCAGACAGUAAUGCAGACAGUAAUGCAGACAGUGAUCUGGUUGAUUGUUAGCAAUCCUUCCCUGAUGGCCAAUAACGCAUUGAUACGGGCCCAACAUUUAUUCUAUAGUCAAAUGCACCUCUUACCAGUGCAAUAACAUGUCUAUAUUGGGCUUCCUGCAGACUAAUCUAGAUAUUACUGUAGCCUGCUGGUAUGUCAGCUUUACUACGGUCUUCAAGAGUUCUGGACCUUUCCGGCAGAACACUAGGUUACAUUGUAGCAGGCGAGCGGGUCCCAGCUCCUCUAUAGCUGUUCUGUCCCUCAAUUACUACAUUAGAAAGAGAAAACGUUCUUGGAAUGAAAACCUCCCAGUGCAGAGAGGCAUCAGACAGACCUGGGUUGAAGUACUAUUUCAAAUGCAUCAUUUGCUUGACUGAGCUUUCCUGGCUUUAACACAGACCAAUGGAAUAGUCCAAUAGCUGCAAACGUUAACCCAUCUACAACUCUAGAUAGGCUAGAGGGCAAACUCUCAAAGUAUUGGAUCGAGUUCAAAUAUCUUGUACGAGGAGGAGGAGACAUGGGGAGGGGCGGGAACCCACUGGUCGGGGCGGGAACCCACUGGUCGGGGCACUUCUAACUCUACACAACUCCCCAAACUGGCUCCUUCACAUCCUGUCCAUUGGGUUUGGUCGGCACACAUGCUGUAGCUUCAGUCCUGGUAGCCAUGACAGCACCUGCUGUAGCUAGCUGGCCUGCAGUCUAGAAAGCGGUUUUAAAAUCUGACUGUAGGAGGAUUAACUCCCCUCUAGACACUGAUAUAAAAUCAGGUUGUAUGCGAUUACCCCCAAAUGGCUAAGGUUAGGUUUAGUGGGGGUUAAUCUGCUCCUAGAUCUGUGUGUAUUGGGUCUGAGAGAGCCACAAGGACAACACAUGUAGAGGUAAAUGUCUAUGGGUCUGUCUGCCUACACAGCCAUGAGAGUGAAGGUGGUUCUGUGUUUCAGAGGACAUAGUAACUACCAUUAUUGCCUGUUUGCUAUGAAUUUAACACAGUAACCAGUGGGCUGUGAUAUGAUUAAAUAUACAUCUUUACAUGCAGCCUUUCUUGCUCACUGUUUAUAACUUUGUCUCGUAUUUGUGAUAGAAAAACCUAAGUCGACGAGGCUAUGUGCAAUAGGAGUUUAGAUUUAAGCUAGGCCUGGUUGUGUCAUCACUUUACUCUCCUAUAUGCAGAUCAGACUGUCAAGUCAGUCUGAUAUGAGACGCAGUGGCCUCUUAUGUUCAUACAGUAAAGUAGUGUAACGGUCAACACUUCUACCCAAGAGGCUACAUUAUUGUACGACACGACACUCCCCACAAGGUUAGAUUUGUUGCGCACUUGACUGUUCACCUGCAAUGAUAGAUAAUCUCGCUGCCCCGCAAUGAAGCAACAAUGCCGAGAUAAGAACUCUUCAGCGUUCCAAUCCACCAGCGGCACAGCCUCGUUUAUGCAUUGUGAGAAAACAACGACGGAGAUAUAGAUAUAUAAACUAGUAACCGAUCUGUUUGGUUGGUUUGCUGUUUAUUGUGAAAGUAGAAGUGAUAGGCUAUAUCCAUGAUAUGUGAAUUGCAGGCAAGUAGACUACAAGUUCGACCAGAGAGUCCACAAGCAAAGCACACCACCCGGGCUGGAGGCUUUGACAUCCGAGUGAGCUCGUCUCUGUUCUCCAGCGUUUCCUACCAUCCUAAAUCUGACCGUCGGGAAACGAACUGACAAUCUUACAACACCGGUAAUGAAACAGCUAGAAAUAUAAUGUACAGAAUCCCGAUUAAAGGUUUCGAGUUACAGCGGAUACUA